UUAUUGAGAUUCAUAUUUACACCUGUGAACUAUGAUUUGCUUGGUUGUGCGUGCUUUUGCAGCGUCUCACAACCGCUUUUUAAAAAACUACUAUUACUAUUAUGUUUAAAACACUAAGAAAUUCAAAACUAUUAACAACGGAUCUCUUGGUUCUCGCAUCGAUGAAGACCGCAGCAAAGCGCGAAAGAUAAUGUGAAUUGCAGACGUGAAUCAUUGAGUUGUUGAACGCACAUUGCACUUUUCUUUACGGAAAAGUAUACCUGUGCGAGCGUCAUUUCUCUCUCCACACCUAGUGGGUAUUGGCAUUUUACAUAAUGCUUAAAACUAUUACGCGUAUAUGUUAACCUACAAUGUACGCUUUAAUACUUUAUUUGGUAUUGGCAUUUUACAUAAUGCUUAAAACUAUUACGCGUAUAUGUUAACCUACAAUGUACGCUUUAAUACUUUAUUUUUGACCUCGUAUCAGGUAAGAGUACCCACUGAACUUAAGCAUAUCAAUA
rnacentral:rRNA from 1 species